UACGUAGGCAGCGAGCGUUGUUCGGAGUUACUGGGCGUAAAGAGUGCGUAGGCGGUUUUCUAAGUUUGGUGUGAAGUCUCCCGGCUCAACUGGGAGGGUGCGCCGAAGACUGGAAGGCUAGAGUGUGGGAGAGGUAAGCGGAAUUCCUGGUGUAGCGGUGAAAUGCGUAGAUAUCAGGAGGAACACCUGCGGUGUAGACGGCUUACUGGACCAUGACUGACGCUGAGGCACGAAAGCGUGGGUAGCAAACAGG
rnacentral:rRNA from 1 species